UGUGGGAGCGGGCUUGCCCGCGAGGGGGUCAGCACAUUCAAUAUCUUUGUUGACUGAACCAACGCCUUCGCGGGCAAGCCCGCUCCCACA
rnacentral:misc_RNA from 1 species